AAUUUGACAAGACUCGGUAUCGGUGGUGAAUACAAGAUCCAAGUAGGUGCUGUUUGCGUUCGGCAAAUCGCAAAUUUGCAUCAGUCCAGCUGACAGCAAACCAUCAACAAUGGCAGCUUCACUCUGAGAAGUUAUUCGAUCAGUUUGGCAGGUUGAAAUUCCCACAAACGACGACCGUAUCAUUCGGACCAGCGGCUUCAACCAUGGACUCAACAAAAACGACGAACGAAUCGUAACGACGAGUGUUAGAGCUCGGGCAAACUCCGUACUGGCAAUUUGACGAUGGAUGGCGACAAGUGCACCACCACCAGUUAGUUUGUCAUUGUUGACCGAACUUCGAUCGCAGCGGUAAACGGAAAAACAAGCGGGAAACAACAUACCAUCCUGUACGUCAGAGUCCAACUUCAUUAUUCGUUACAGAAAUCUCGCCCUGAACGUUAUCAUUAUUACAAAGCAACGGUCGGUCGGUUAGGAGCUGCGAGUGGCGUGGUGACACAACCGUGAAACUGAAAGGGUUCAAUUUGCGGCGGAUGAUCUCGAGCAAUUAUGCUUCCCCGAUCGACACCCACGAACUCUCGAAAACAAAUUCCCUUCUGCCAGCUCGCUGGUUGCAUUGCUUUUUCCUUCCAUUUCAAUCCCAAACCCACUUUGAACGAUACAAAUGAAAGCUGUUUGAGAUCAACACCCCUUUUGACCAACUUUAUGACUUCGACAGGCUCAUCUAUGUCGAGAUUCCGCUGUACCAGUUUCGAGAUUUCCUCCACAGUGGCGUGUGGAGAGAAUCUUGACAGGAAUAGCCAGAAUUUAGGCCCUCUAGGGACGACUUGCACAACUGGAAUAGGCAAAGCGGGGUCUGGCUCCUUGCUACCACAAAGCGUACGAGCCGCAUCCUCAUCGGUUUGUGGCAAAUCGAUUUGGAUACGCGGUCACUUUGUUGACCUAGGUGGAAUUCUAGGCCAUGGUGAGCGAUUAACAAAACCCUGCUGUUGAUGCUUCCCGACCAUUUCGGUUAUUUUUUCUGCAUUUUUUCGAAUCUCACCUCUCAAUUCUUCAAGCACUUGGCUAUGUUGGCUCAUAAUCUCCUGUAACAGAUCGUUCGAUGAGCCCAACGCGUUGCGAAAGUGAGUGCAUCCAGUAGAUCAUCGAGUUUGACCUGAUUUCUGUCCACAAAUCAGCGGUAAGGAGCGAACAUUGCAAGUGAAACGAUGACUUGCAAAAUCCCUUACAGCACACGAGAUCAUUCUCGUCGGUGAUUGGAGUCUGGCAGCCAUGGCAACACUCUUCCAUCUUCUCCGUAGUUCACUAUCGAAUUCGAUGUCUUUAGGAAAUAAAAACUACGAUACUUCACGAUACACAGGUGUAUACAGAGUCCAAUGAGUCACAGAACACACAACUAUAAUUUAAAAAACUCAGAAACACAUAAAAAUUGAACCUUAAAAACAUCUAGUGAUCACACAACGAUAAGCUUUGUUUACAAACACAAAAAUUCAUGUUUAUCAUCUUUUCUGCAUGAAAAACAACUAGAUAAUACCUCUAUUUUCUUAUAAUAAUAGAAAUAAAUCAUCGUUUCAGUUUCCUUUAA